rnacentral:rRNA from 1 species
GGAGCCCAGAGCCUGAAUCAGUGUGUGUGUUAGUGGAAGCGUCUGGAAAGGCGUGCGAUACAGGGUGACAGCCCCGUACACAAAAAUGCACAUAUUGUGAGCUCGAUGAGUAGGGCGGGACACGUGGUAUCCUGUCUGAAUAUGGGGGGACCAUCCUCCAAGGCUAAAUACUCCUGACUGACCGAUAGUGAACCAGUACCGUGAGGGAAAGGCGAAAAGAACCCCGGCGAGGGGAGUGAAAAAGAACCUGAAACCGUGUACGUACAAGCAGUGGGAGCCUCUUAAUGGGGUGACUGCGUACCUUUUGUAUAAUGGGUCAGCGACUUAUAUUCUGUAGCAAGGUUAACCGAAUAGGGGAGCCGAAGGGAAACCGAGUCUUAACUGGGCGUUAAGUUGCAGGGUAUAGACCCGAAACCCGGUGAUCUAGCCAUGGGCAGGUUGAAGGUUGGGUAACACUAACUGGAGGACCGAACCGACUAAUGUUGAAAAAUUAGCGGAUGACUUGUGGCUGGGGGUGAAAGGCCAAUCAAACCGGGAGAUAGCUGGUUCUCCCCGAAAGCUAUUUAGGUAGCGCCUCGUGAAUUCAUCUCCGGGGGUAGAGCACUGUUUCGGCAAGGGGGUCAUCCCGACUUACCAACCCGAUGCAAACUGCGAAUACCGGAGAAUGUUAUCACGGGAGACACACGGCGGGUGCUAACGUCCGUCGUGAAGAGGGAAACAACCCAGACCGCCAGCUAAGGUCCCAAAGUCAUGGUUAAGUGGGAAACGAUGUGGGAAGGCCCAGACAGCCAGGAUGUUGGCUUAGAAGCAGCCAUCAUUUAAAGAAAGCGUAAUAGCUCACUGGUCGAGUCGGCCUGCGCGGAAGAUGUAACGGGGCUAAACCAUGCACCGAAGCUGCGGCAGCGACACUAUGUGUUGUUGGG